CGAUUUCUGAGGAUAAGUAUGUAAUUAAACAAUUGAACAAGUCUUAUAAAGAGUUGAAAAAUAAAGCAUAAAUUUAGAGUAUUCGAAUUGUGUAUUCAAAGAUAGAGUUUAAUACUUUUUAGAUUUUUAUUUCAUUAAAAUUUAGGACUAAUUGCAUUUUGUUCCCUAAACUAUUGCUCGGUGUCACAACCCCUCUAAACUAAAAAUUAAAUCGACUUUUCUCCUCAAACUAUUGAAAGUUGUCACUUUAGUACAUCCGUUAGCCAUCUGUUAAAUAUAAUAUGUUAAAUUGUCAUGUGAGCAGCUCAUGGAUAAAAAAACAAAACAAAAUCACUAAAAUAACCCUAUUUUUUUGUAAUUAACCCCGUUUAGGAUCAAAUUAUCCAAAUUUUCUUCUUGCCCUCUCUAUAUAACAAUAUUUGGGCAUUUUAGUCCUAAAAAAGAUUAAUUUCCAAAAUAAGGCUAUUUUAGAGAGUUUAUUUUAUUUUUUUGUCAAUGAACUGCUUACGUGUCAAUUUAACAUUUUAUGUUUAAUGGAUAACUAAUGAAAGUAGUAUAGUGUCUACUUUCAAUAGUUUAAUAGGGACAAUUGAUUGAGUUUAUAAUUUAGAGGGGUUAAGUGACACCGAGCAAUAGUUUAGGGGCAAAAUAUAAUUAGCCCUAGUAUUUAUGUGUGCGUACAUAUAUAUAUAUAUAUAUAUAUAGUUCAUAUUGAUUAUUUUUAUUCAUAAACGUCAACCUUUUUAUAAAUUGAAAAUCAUUUACUUAAUAUUAAAAUAUCAUUAUGAAAUGAUUUUUUUUAAAAAGAGAGUAGAUUGGAGAAUUACACAUAAGCGUUCUAUAGUCGCAAUACAAACAAUAUUUUUAAUUAGAUACCGUCUAGAGAGAGAAUGCCAAAGAAAUUAGAGAGAGAAAUGUUUCAUAUAUUUUGGGAUUCUUAUUUUUAAUUGAUAGAAAUUAAAUUUUAAUAUUCUUAGGAUUUUUAUUUAUAUGUAGUAAUUUAAAUCAAGUAUAACUCUAUCCAUAUAUUAGGAGCACUGAAUUUUAAUAGGACCUCCAUUAUCUAAAAUGAAUCUAUUGGAUUUCGUUAAUUAAUACCAAUGCAUGAGACUCGGGAAAGAUGUUGGGCCAAACUUUCUAAUAAUCAAUAAUUUUCCACAUGACUGUUAAACUUACCUUGAAUGAAACACAAUAUCAAUCUUUGUCAAUAUAAAUCAGUAUAGAUAUAUAUAUCUGUCUAUGCAUUAUUGUUAGAGUUUGACGGGUUCAUAACACGAGCCUGGAAUAAUAUGUCUCUAAAAGAUUGCAACUCUUGAUAUUGCCUCAAAACCAUAAUUAAGGUUAAGCAUGUGGGCUAUCACCAAACUUAUUAACAACCUAAGUUGACGUGAUUAUGUCCCAGAUAAAUAAAUAAUACAAGUUCUAAAAUCUUCACCUUGCACUGACACUAAUAAAUAUUUAUAUUUUAAAUCUUUAAAAACGCAUUGUAGAAAGAUGUUUAAAACAAUUGAUACAGUUGAAUCCUCAAUUCAAUUAGUUGUACCCCUAGAGUCUACUUCUCCCUCGUACAAGUGAAAGAGAAGAUGUAAAAACUGUCAAAAUUGUCCAAGUGAGAUUUUCGGUAAAUGUGAGCCACACACAUAUUAAAUGCAAUAGGACUAAUUUAUGUGAGAGAAGAAGUAUUACUCCGGUCAAUAACCCUGAACCUUCAUGCAAGUUUCACAACUUGACUUUGUUAAAUUGCAACAUAAAUGUCCAUCCUUUUCUUGACGGGCCCUUGCUUUGGAAUAGCUUCAUCAAUUAUUUCAUGCGAGAUGGACCACUUGUUCAAUCAAUUUAUACCAAUUUUGUAAAAAAAUUUAACAAACGAAAAUUAUUCAAUGCGCUUGACAGGAGCGGAGCUAAAAUUCCUUCGAAAUGAGGGCCAAAUAUCUAGAAGCAUAUACGUAUGUUUUUCAUUUGAUAAUUAAAAUAUAUAAAUAAAUUGAAAUGAUUAAUAAUUUUCGAGACUCAAUUCGAUAUUCUGGAAAAGAUGUUGGGCCAAACUUUCUAAUAAUCAAUAAUUUUCCACAUGACUGUUAAACUUACCUUGAAUGAAACACAAUAUCAAUCUUUGUCAAUAUAAAUCAGUACAGAUAUAUAUCUCUGUCUACGCAUUAUUGUUAGAGUUUGACGGGUGGUACAGAUAUAUUUCUCUGUCUAUGCAUUUUGUUAGAGCUUGACGGGUUCAUAACACGAGCAUGGAAUAAUCUGCCACUAAAAGCUUGCAACUUUUGAUAUUACCUCAAAACCUUAAUUAAAGAUAAGGAUGUGGGCUAUCACCAAACUUACUAACUAUUUAAGGAUUAUGUCCCAGAUAAACAAAUAAUACAAGUUCUAAAAUUUUCAACUGACACUAAUAAAUAUUUUUAUUUUAAAUCUUUAAAAAGGCAUUGUAGAACAAUCUAUAAAACAAGUGAUACAAGUGAUUUCUCAACUCAAUUAGUUGUACCCUUAGAGUCCACUUCUCUUGAGCGAAAGAGAAAAUAAAAAGACUAUCAAACCCGAAAAAAUCUAAUAUUUGUCUAUGGUUUAUCCAAUGAUCUAAAAUUAUAAUAUUAAAUCAAAAAUAUUUUAGCUAUGAGUAAUAUUGAAUGAUCCACAUGAAAAGAAGCAAACCAAUCAACCAAAAAGAGCACAAGAUUUUUACCAUAGAAACCCUUGAAUGGGAGAAAAAUCACGUGUCCACUCUCUGAAUAAAGAUCAUGCACUAUAAUCCGAAAUUUAGACGGUUACAAGACUCUUACAAUCAAAACAUAUCAACUUCAUGAUCUAAUGAUUGUGUAAAUCUAGCUCGUAUCCACGAUUCACCGUCUCCGUGCUUGAUCACCAUUUAGAUCCCCUUAAAACGAAUUUCACACCUUAAACUCCUACAAGGAUUUUGAAUUUUUCAAUUUGGUUGAUGAAGAUCUUUGCUAAUAUUUGUUUCUGAGCUCUUCGGAAGGUAGAGAACACUUUUCUCUAGGUUAUAAUGCUAUAGGCGGCUCACCUCAGGUCUUGAGAAGUGUUUUGAGCCUUUUAUAGAGCCAAAAAUCCUAAAAAAUACAAUUUUUGACUUUGCAAAUUUUCGUGAGUACUGUUGAUCCCGCGAAGUACCUGUGAAUUCUGUGACAAUUUUCAAGCUCUCAGUUUCUUCUCGUGAGAUCUGUGAACUACCCGCGAAGUUCAUAAUUUUUUACUCCGAUAUCCGAUAGAACUGAUUUUUAGUGCGUUGGAAAGAAAACUUCAAGGAACACAACUUUGCCUCUAAUGAUCAUUGGCUGAAUCAAUCUCUAAGAUGGCAAAAAUUAAGCUUGAAAAUUGCAGGUGAAUCCAUAAUGUAUCAUACAAGUUUCUCUUAGCACGAGCUUGCAUGAAUAUGCUUGAAAACCUUUCUGAAUACUUGAAAAAUAUCUUCUAACACUUGUUCUUCAUUACUCAACUUCUCAAUUUACAUUAAAAAUAACUUAUCACGAAAUUUAGCCAAUCACACAACCUAACAAAAACUGCCUCAAGUGAGAUUUCAGGUAAAUGUGAUCCCCACACAUAUUAAAUGCAGUAGGACCAAUUUAUACGAAAGGAGGAGCAUUACUCCAGUGAAGAACUCUGAACCUUCAUACACGUUUCACAAUUUGACUUUGUUAAAGUGCAACAUAAAUGACCAUCAUUUUCUUGACGGGCCCUUACUUUGGAAUUGAUUCAUCUAUUAUUUCAUGCAUGAUGGACCGGUUGUUCAUUAAAUUUAUACCAAUCAUGUAAAACUUUUUAAUAAACAAAAAUUAUUCAGUGCGCUUGACAGGAGCAGAGCUAGAAUUCCUUCGAAAUGAGGGCCAAAUAUCUAGAAGCAUAUACGUAUUUUUUUCAUUUGAUAAUCAAAAUAUAUAAAUAAAUUGAAAUGCUCAAUUAGUUAUACCCCUAGAGUCCACUUCUCCCCCAUACAACGAGUGAAAGAGAAAAUGAAAAAACUAUAGAGAAAAUGAAAAGACUAUCAAAACUGCCCAAAUGAGAUUUCUGGUAAAUGUGAGCCCCACACGUAUUAAAUGCAGUAGGACCAAUUUAUAUGAGAGGAGGAGCAUUACUCCAGUCAAGAACUCUGAACCUUCAUACACGUUUCACAAUUUGACUUUGUUAAACUGCAACAUCAAUGGCCAUCCUUUUCUUGAUGGGCCCUUACUUUGGAAUUGCUUCAUCAAUUAUUUCAUGUGUGAUGGACCGAUUGUUCAUUCAAUUUAUACAAAUCUGGUAAAACUUUUUAAUGAACAAAAAUUAUUCAGUGCGUUUGACAAAAACAGAGCUAGAAUUCCAUCGAAAUGAUGGCCCAAUAUCUAGAAGCAUAUACGUAUUUUUUUCAUUUGAUAAUUAAAAUAUAUAAAUAAAUUGAAAUGAUCAAUUAGUUGUACCCCUAGAGUCCACUUCUCCCCAAUACAACGAGUGAAAGAGAAAAUGAAAAGACUAUCAAAAUUGUCCAAGUGAGAUUUCCAGUAAAUGUGAGUGCCACGCAUGUUCAAUGCGAUAGGAUCAAUUUAUAUGAGAGGAUGAGCGUUACUCCAAUCAAGAACAUUGAACCUUCAUACACGUUUUGCAACUUGACUUUGUUAAACGGCAACAUCAAUGGCCAUCCUUUUCUUGAGGGCCCUUGCUUUGGAAUUGUUUUAUCAAUUAUUUUAUGCAUGAUGGACCGAUUGUUCAUUCAAUUUAUACCAAUAAUGUAAAAUUUCUUAACAAACAAAAAUUAUUCAGUGCGCUUGAUAGGAGCAAAGCUAGAAUUCCUUCGAAGUGAGGGCCAAAUAUCUAAAAGCAUAUACGUAAUUUUUUCAUUUGAUAAUAAAAUAUAUAAAUAAAUUGAAAUUCUCAAUUAGUUAUACCCCUAGAGUCCAUUUCUCCCCCAUACAACGAGUGAAAGAGAAAAUAAAAAAACUAUCAAAACUGCCCAAGUGAGAUUUCCAGUAAAUGUGAGCCCCAUACAUAUUAAAUGCAAUAAG
rnacentral:lncRNA from 1 species